CUGCCAUCACCUUGUUAACCUUACCCUUCAUCUUCGCCACCGCGGAGGGAUUCCGCACGUGCCGCCAGUACAACCUCGGAACCAUUUCCGACCAUACUACCAUAACCCCUGGCACUAACUCCCUUAACCUGUCCACAUCCCUCUUCAUACACUCGAGCAGGACCGUUUGAGGUAACAACCCCACAUCAUUACCCCCUGUGUAAAGCAUCACUAUGUCCGGAACCUGUCCCAAAAGAAUUUUGUGAAACAUUUCCUCACAUAUAACAUAAC